GGAUGUGAGGGCAAUCUGGCUGCAACAUCUGUCACCCCAUUGAUCACCAGGGUUGAUUCGACUGAUCUGGCUGGCUAGGCGGGUGUCCCCUUCCUCCCUCACCGCUCCAAGUGCAUCCCUCCCCAAACUGUGCGCUCAGUCGGUCGAAGAGGAUGAUCUUCUCUACUAGAGGAGGACCGGUCUUCUCGGUCAAGGCUAUACGAGUAGCUGCGCUCCCCUGUUAGAACCUCCAAACAAGCUCUCAAAACAGGAGUGAUAUCAGCUAACAUAAUACACCAGAAUCUUAAUAAGAUUUAGUAUCAUUAUAUCAUGAAAUUUUUU
rnacentral:snRNA from 1 species